rnacentral:misc_RNA from 1 species
GCUUUCACUGCACCCAUCGAGUCGGAUUCUACCCAUAUCAUUUUGAUCCCGAUACUGACAGCAAGCAUAAGACCUCUCCAUAUAGCCAGUAACUCAACCAAGAAGAUAUCGUCACAUGUAACUUCAGAGACACAAGCACAUAUAGCAGCACCUUCAUAAUCACGAAGCAAACCACCAAGACCAGCUCUUUUCCGGUCUAUAGAUCCAUCAGUAUUUAGCUUUGUCCAUCCAGGCUUGGGCUUUUUCCAAGUGCAGCACCUUAAUGGUCUUCUAAUAGGCAAAUUAAAGCCUCUUAAUUCCACAAACUUGAGAGAUUUUAUCUGGUUCAAACUCUCAAGUAAAUCUUUUAAAUAAUUUCCCUCCAACUUUGAAGCAAGUUUAGCUUCUUUACUUGCCAUGAUCAUUUCAUGUUCCCUUUGUUCGUCUU